rnacentral:lncRNA from 1 species
AUGAAAACAGAAGGACUGAAGAUGAGGAGGAAGGAAAGGAGGAGACAGAGAGCCCAUCCUGCCCUGUACUUACUGAAAAAAAUACCCUCAAAGGCAACAGAGUCAGGGCUGUGUCUGAUCCAGCCACUCACAGGCGCCUGCACUCAGCUCCAUCUCCCCAGGAGAAGCAGGUGGGCUGCAGCGAGAGCUGGUGUGCUGGGGCCGCCUACACUCUUGGCCUGUCCGAGACAGGAUCUGGCCCAAGUGCGUCAGGGAGGUGAGUGGGGUGGGGACAAAGUGGCGUCACAGCUGCAGAGCACUCCACCCUGAAUCCCGAUGCACCAACAAGCGGGAGACUCCGCUGCGGAUGACCGCUGGAAUCCAGAAGGCCUGGGUCGGAAGGCUGGCUCUCCCUCUUAUUGGGCUCGUUGAGCAAGUAGCUGACCUUACGUUUACCCAUCUACUAAAUGGGGACAAUGAAGCCUAUUGCCUAGGGUUGUUAUAAUUAAUAAAAAUAGUAUUUGUAAUUUAUUAGGUAAUUAC